rnacentral:siRNA from 1 species
UAAAUCGAGUUUGCGGUAUGGUA